AUACGUAGGUGACAAGCGUUAUCCGGAUUUACUGGGCGUAAAGGGCGUGUAGGCGGUCUUGCAAGUCAGAAGUGAAAUUCCUGAGCUCAACUCGGGCGCUGCUUCUGAAACUGCAGGACUUGAGUGCUGGAGGGGAUAGCGGAAUUCCUAGUGGAGCGGUAAAAUGCGCAGAUAUUAGGAAGAACACCGGUGGCGAAGGCGACUAUCUGGACAGGAAUUGGCGCUGAGGCGCCAAAGCGAGGAGGGCAAACAGACUUAGAUCCCGGGGUAGUCCACGCCGUGAACGAUGAAUACUAGGUGUAGGGGGUAUCGACUCCCUCUGUGCCGCAGUUAACACAAUAAGUAUUCCGCCUGGGGAGUACGGCCGCAAGGUUGAAACUCAAAUGAAUUGACGGGG
rnacentral:rRNA from 1 species